GGGCAAGCGAACCUCAAAAACCGUUUCCCAGUUCGGAUUGCAGGCUGCAACCCGCCUGCAUGAAGUCGGAAUCGCUAGUAAUCGCAGGUCAGCAUACUGCGGUGAAUACGUUCCCGGGUCUUGUACACACCGCCCGUCACACCACGGAAGUCAUUCACACCCGAAGCCGGCGCAGCCGUCUAAGGUGGGGAAGGUGACUGGGGUGAAGUCGUAACAAGGUAGCCGUAUCGGAAGGUGCGGCUGGAUCACCUCCUUUCUA
rnacentral:rRNA from 1 species